GGUAGAGAGAAGCUUGCUUCUCUUGAGAGCGGCGGACGGGUGAGUAAUGCCUAGGAAUCUGCCUGGUAGUGGGGGAUAACGUUCGGAAACGGACGCUAAUACCGCAUACGUCCUACGGGAGAAAGCAGGGGACCUUCGGGCCUUGCGCUAUCAGAUGAGCCUAGGUCGGAUUAGCUAGUUGGUGAGGUAAUGGCUCACCAAGGCGACGAUCCGUAACUGGUCUGAGAGGAUGAUCAGUCACACUGGAACUGAGACACGGUCCAGACUCCUACGGGAGGCAGCAGUGGGGAAUAUUGGACAAUGGGCGAAAGCCUGAUCCAGCCAUGCCGCGUGUGUGAAGAAGGUCUUCGGAUUGUAAAGCACUUUAAGUUGGGAGGAAGGGCAGUUACCUAAUACGUGAUUGUUUUGACGUUACCGACAGAAUAAGCACCGGCUAACUCUGUGCCAGCAGCCGCGGUAAUACAGAGGGUGCAAGCGUUAAUCGGAAUUACUGGGCGUAAAGCGCGCGUAGGUGGUUAGUUAAGUUGGAUGUGAAAUCCCCGGGCUCAACCUGGGAACUGCAUUCAAAACUGACUGACUAGAGUAUGGUAG
rnacentral:rRNA from 1 species